rnacentral:rRNA from 1 species
CCCUAUGGGGUGCACAGGCGAAGGAAGUAGCGGGUGCGGUGAAAAUAUAUCGCGCCGGUAAUGCAGACGGGAGAUGGUGGUCUGAAAGUGAAGAAUACAGUCGAAACGGGUUCCCUGGAAAACCUUUUAAUAUUUCCAAUUUACCCGAUGGGUUAAAUAUAUUGGAUGCAACCGAUACUGGGCAGGGUUCUAAGUUUUGGGAUUUAUUUACACCGGAUGAGCUUUCAAAACUAAAUAAGCCUGAAAAUUGGGGAAAUCGCGAACUUCGAGAAAGCAUUUAUGAUGAUGUGCUAAAGCGCAACAAAUAUGACGCUGUUAAGUUGCUUGAUGAAAGUGGUUCAACGGGGGAGAUCACUAAUUCUUAUUAUUUCUCCGAAACGCCCAUGACAGGUAACAUUGCUGCCGGUUCGCUCUCUUAUGGUCAAGAACUCCCCAAAUAUGCGGGGAACAUCAAUAAGGAAUUGGCGGGGGGGC